rnacentral:tmRNA from 1 species
GGGGGCGUACUGGCUUUCGACGGAUAGAAUGAAGCUAAAUAAGCGGGUAGUGUAGCGGAAUCACUUAAAAACCGCAAAUUAAAAUUUAAACGCUAAUAAUAGACAAUUAGCAGCUGCCUAAUUUUCGGCGGCCGUCUUAUCCGAGAGCGCUGCGGCUCGGAAUAAGGCGUCACUUAGCAGCCACCGACCGAAAGGGAUUUCGGGACUUUUCGGUCGCCCUAUCCCGAAUAUAACUGACAGGAGUUUGUUUUUUGUUUCCUGUCAGCGGAAUUUAAACAAAAAACUACACUCGUAGAAAGUUUAGCGGACUUCUUUUCGGACAGGGGUUCAACUCCCCUCGCCUCCACCA